rnacentral:lncRNA from 1 species
CCAAUUUUUAUUUUUGGCCACAUACUUCAAAAAAAGGGGGGCACCUUUUAUCUCAUUGUGGUUUUGUGUGUGUGUUUUUGCCUACAAUCUUAGGCUUCUUCUGGUGCUGACAGCAAGUUUGGUGGUGGAGCAUGGUGGGGGCUAUGGCUGCAAUUUCCUGGAAAGUUGAAGAAUCAUGCUUUCAAGUGUUUUUUCUGAGAAAGUUUGUGGAGAAAGUUGUUUUCUUGGACUCAAAAUGUGAAGGGUGGACUGGUAGAGGAAAUGCCAUUUCCGAAGUCCACCACUUGUUGCAGCAAGUUCUGAUCUCCUUCCUCAUGAUCUGCUUCUUUGGCUUUUGAUGGUGUAGGGGUGUUGGUGAUAUUGGCUGGACGGCUCAAUCUUUCUGUAUUUUUUUAGGAUAUAAUAAUUUGUUUUAUUUUCCUUUUUUUGCUUUAUUUUCACUCAUUAAUUAAGUUUUUGGCUUCUCAUUCUGUUUAUAUGGAAAGGGAAUUAAUCAAAUUCCAUUUAUUAUGUGAUUUGAGGAAUUGGGAAUUGGCAGAUUGGUGAUGGUGCUGGUGAGUAAAAUCAAGUUUUAAUUUUCAUCUCCA